CCGGGGUUUCUUUACCAGGUACUGUCAUUAUCAUCCCUGGCGAAAGAGCUUUACGACCCUAAGGCCUUCAUCACUCACGCGGCAUGGCUAGAUCAGGGCCUUUGCGCCCACUUGUCUAAGAUUCCCC
rnacentral:rRNA from 1 species